CUACGGGAUGCAGCAGUGAGGAAUAUUGCACAAUGGGGGGAACCCUGAUGCAGCAACGCCGCGUGGAGGAUGACGCAUUUCGGUGUGUAAACUCCUUUUAUAUGUCAAGAAAAUGACGGUAGCAUAUGAAUAAGCACCGGCUAACUCCGUGCCAGCAGCCGCGGUAAUACGGAGGGUGCAAGCGUUACUCGGAAUCACUGGGCGUAAAGGACGCGUAGGCGGGCUUGUAAGUCAGGUGUGAAAUCCUACAGCUUAACUGUAGAACUGCACUUGAAACUACGAGCCUAGAGUAUGGGAGGGGCAGAUGGAAUUAGUGGUGUAGGGGUAAAAUCCGUAGAUAUCACUAGGAAUACCUAAAGCGAAGGCGAUCUGCUGGAACAUAACUGACGCUAAGGCGUGAAAGCGUGGGGAGCAAACAGGAUUAGAUACCCGGGUAGUC
rnacentral:rRNA from 1 species